GCCCAGGUGGAGUAAUGGCAGCCUCGUAAGUCUGAGGGGCUUAUGGUCGAAAGACCGUGCGGGUUCAAGUCCCGCCCUGGGCA
rnacentral:tRNA from 1 species